rnacentral:ncRNA from 1 species
GUGUUGUAUGAAAGGAGAGAAGGUUAGCACUCCCCUUGAUAAGGAUGGAAGAGGUCCUAGUGGCCUUUACAAUAUAUAUAUGGUUAAUGCAUUGCCACCUACUCUGUGAAAUCUAUUAAA